rnacentral:misc_RNA from 1 species
AAGAGACGUUACCCUUCGGGGUAUACCUCCCACCCUUUGUUUAUUAUACCUUUGUUGCUUUGGCGGGCCCGUCCUCGGACCACCGGCUUCUGCUGGUCAGUGCCCGCCAGAGGACCUAAAACUCUGUUUGUUAAUAUUGUCUGAGUACUAUAUAAUAGUUAA